rnacentral:rRNA from 1 species
CAAAGAACUUUGAAGAGAGAGUUCAAUAGGACGUGAAACCGUACUGAGAAUAAACGUGCGAGUUAGAACGUUGGCGUAGAUUCACCAAUCCCAUAGGAUUGUGCAUUUCUGCGUCGCGGCAGCCGGGGAGCUGAGUUCAGCGAAGCUGCAUGUGGCGGGCUGCUYCGGCAGUGUCCUGCGUGUAGACAAGCGUACGAGGUUCCUUUCAAUUGGUGCCAUGCUCACGGACUUCUUGGCUUCGGCUGGGUUGCCGGUGAUGGUGCAUCAGGUGGCCAGAGUUUGAUCUUGCACGACCCGUCUUGAAACACGGACCAAGGAGUCUAAAUUGUGCGCGAGCCAUUGGAUGUUAUCUCCAUAGGCGAAACGAAUGUAAUGAGGUUGGAUCUUAUUGCGCACCUCAAACGUGUGCAGUGUUCGCAUUGCGCUCAGUCAGAGUGCACAGAUUAGUACCCGAAAGAUGGUGAACUAUGCUUGAGCAGGACGAAGCUAGAGGAAACUCUGGUGGAAGUCCGAAGCGGUUCUGACGUGCAAAUCGAUCGUCAGACUUGAGUAUAGGGGCGAAAGACUAAUCGAACCAUC